rnacentral:tRNA from 1 species
GCCCGCGUAGCUCAAUUGGCAGAGCGCAGCAUUCGUAAUGCUGAGGUUGUGGGUUCGACUCCCACCGAGGGCU